rnacentral:rRNA from 1 species
CAGUCGCCACGGGAAUACGAAGGGGGCUAGCGUUGCUCGGAAUCACUGGGCGUAAAGGGUGCGUAGGCGGGUCUUUAAGUCAGGGGUGAAAUCCUGGAGCUCAACUCCAGAACUGCCUUUGAUACUGAAGAUCUUGAGUUCGGGAGAGGUGAGUGGAACUGCGAGUGUAGAGGUGAAAUUCGUGGAUAUUCGCAAGAACACCAGUGGCGAAGGCGGCUCACUGGCCCGAUACUGACGCUGAGGCACGAAAGCGUGGGGAGCAAACAGGAUUAGAUACCCGAGUAGUCCCUGUCUCUUAUAC